CGACCACCCUAACAUCUUGCACUGUCUGGGGGCUCCCCGGGCUCAGCAACACCCACCUCUGUGGCUGGGAGCUGGGCUCAGCCACAUCCCUGCAACUUCUCCGGGACACCGCCAUCCAGCUACGCCAAGGCCUGACGGCGGCUCCAUGUUUCCUGCCAAUGGCGGUGCUAUUAAUUUGCUGCAUAUUCAAUGAGAGUACAGUGUUUACUUUUGUAAACAGAGUUCCUGGCCCAGAACAGGUUAACAGAUAUUCAUCAAAAGAAAGCAAGAGCCAGGCCUCACUCACUAAGCUAAAAGGAAAUGUAUAAAACAAACCAGAAUAAAGUGGAAGGAAUCACUCUACCCAAUUUCAAAACAUUAUAUUGCUGCAGCAGAAAUCAAAAUUCUGCAGUACUUGUGGCAGGAUGGACACAUAGGUCAAUUGGACAUCUAUAGGUGAAAAAAAAAAGAAAGAAAAAAAAGAAAAGGAAAGAAAAGAAAAAGGAGAGAAAGAAGAUCAACCUAAACCCCACACCUAAUAUAUCAACUGUAAAUGGAUCAAGACUUAAAUUUAAAUCUGAAAACCAUACAGCCUUUUAAAAACAACACAGGAGAGAAUCUCUGGGAUCUGGGUCCUGGCAGAGUUCUUAGACCUGACACCAGAAGCAGGAUUCCUAAGAUAAGAAAUUAAUGAACUGGAUCUCCUCAAAAUUAAACAUUUUGCUCUGCAAAAGCCCAUAUAAAGAGGAUUAAAAGACAGGAUACAGACUGGGGGAAAAUAUAUUUGCAAAGAACAAAAAAGGAGCAGAACUUUAACAUAGAAAGAAUUCUCACAACUCAGCAGUUUAGAAAAAUGCAAUCAGAAACUGGGAAAAAAAGCAUUAACAGACAUUUCACUGAGGAGGAUACACAGAUGCCAAGGAGGGUGUGGAAAGAUGCCCCAAUCCUCAGCCUGUAGGAGAAUACAGAUCAAACGGGCAAUAAGCUGUGGCCACACAUCUAUCAGAGUGGCUAAAAUUAAAAACAUAAAAUAGUGACAACAUAGAACGCUGGUGAGGAUGCAGAGACACUGGAGCACUCAGCAGGUCGGGGGAGGUGAAGUUGCAGAACCACGCUGGAAAGCAUGAAAUAAUGAUACAGCCCAGCUAGUGCAUUUGGGAGCAUUUGUUCUGAAGAAAUGAAGACUCAAAUUUCCAAAAAAGCCUGUAGAAUCUCUGGGAAAAUGUCCUAAGGGGCAGAAAAUGUACAAUGUCUUUAUCUUUGUAUCAUCAAUACAGAGACCAAUGC
rnacentral:lncRNA from 1 species